GAUGAACGCUGGCGGCGUGCCUAAUACAUGCAAGUCGAGCGAACAGACGCGGCGCUUGCUCCUCUGACGUUAGCGGCGGACGGGUGAGUCACACGUGGAUACCCUCCCUGUAAGACUGGGAUAACUUCGGGAAACCGGCUCUAAUACCGUAUAAUCUCUUGCACCGCGUGGUUCAAUAGUAAAUGACGGUUUUUCUGUCACUUCUCGAUGGUUCCGCGCCGGAUUAGCUAGUUGGUAAGGUAACGGCUUACCAAGGCAACCAUGCGUAGCCGGCCUGAGAGGGUGAUCGGCCACACGGGAACUGGGCCACGGUCCAGGGUCCUAAGGGAGGCAGCAGUAGGGAAUCGUCCGCAACGGGCGAAAGCCUGACGGAGCAACGCCGCGUGAGUGAUGAAGGUCUUCGGAUCGUAAAACUCUGUUAUUAGGGAAGAACAAAUGUGGAAGUAACUAUGCACGUCUUGACGGUACCGAAUCAGAAAGCAACGGCUAACUACGUG
rnacentral:rRNA from 1 species